GGGACAUCUGCAUAAACUGCCACCAGUGACAAUGUGAACAGUAAACAGUGGGAAAUGAAGCACGUCUUAGUUGAAGAGUUGCUAAGUGAAGAUGACAUUCCAUUUCUCAAACUUUUUGACGACCCAUAUCCCUCUCCUCUUUCUGAUAGAAGGUCGAGUACUACAACACCGCAACGUGAUCAAGAUGUCGACUGUUUACCUUUCACGAGAUUCGUCCUCGACGUGGUUUCUACUACGGGUCGUCAAUACCAAGAGCAAUUGGAAGCGUUACAAGAUGAAGUAAAAUUAUGCAUCGAACUGCUGGUGGAGAGAACUGCAAACAUCUUGGUGAAGCUACACUCUAAUUCUACUCUCUUGUCUGACUGGUGUCCGUGUGUGGAUUAGUACCCAAAGAUGAAGGAAAAAUCUUGGGCACCAAAUUCCAGUUUGAAACUAAUAGUAUUGAAACGGUAAAGGAAAAGUAGAAAAGUAUUAGGAGUUAAUUUGUGACUACGAUUAUUAAUAGAAACUUUUAAAGAUGCUAAAGCCUAUACCCUGAUUGUCAUGCAAAUUAACCCAGUAGCAGCGGGGAUCAUGUUUCUUAAUGGUCCCUCUAUGCGAGAAAAAUGAGAAAAAAUCACCCCUCACACAAACCAUUGGGUAAUAUAUAUCAAAGCAUUUGUGAUCAAUUUAUGUAUCAUCUAAUUUUGGGGGGGCUAAAAUCAUGGCACAAAUUUGGCCCGUCGCUGCUACACGGUAAAGCCACAAAUUUGGCCCGUCGCUGCUACACUGAUUUAAUUUUGCUCCUAUUUUACCUUAUUUUUGGAGUUUUCUAUAAAUUUAUAAAUGUUAUGUACAUGCCAUAUAAACAUACAGGUUAGUGAACAAUAUAUAAAACAAUAAACAU